AAAGAAUGAAGGUAGACGGUGAGGAUAUCACUUUGUAUUAAUUAUAAUAAUAAUAACGAUGCCAUUGAUUGGAAGGUUGCAUCAAUGCACAUCUCCUUUAUUUCAUUUCCCUUCUUAAUCUUGGCAUUUUGGCUGCAUUAAUGUUCAGCGGUGAGUGACAGUCCCCUCGAAACAAGUUAAAAAAAUGGUGUCACCACUCUCUCUGUGUCUCGUUCUCUCUCCAAAGCAAAGCACGCGUCAAUGUUGGUUUGGUGGAAAACGUAGGCAAAGGCUAAGAUGACAAUGCGUCUGCUGCUGCUGCUGAUGCCAUUGCUAUCGGUGCCACAAUGGAUCCAGGACCGUCC
rnacentral:lncRNA from 1 species